GUAGUCUGCAACCCGACUACAUGAAGCUGGAAUCGCUAGUAAUCGCGAAUCAGAAUGUCGCGGUGAAUACGUUCCCGGGUCUUGUACACACCGCCCGUCACACCAUGGGAGUCGGAAAUGCCCAAAGUCAGUGACCUAACCGAAAGGGAGGAGCUGCCGAAGGUGGAGCCGGUAACUGGGGUGAAGUCGUAACAAGGUACC
rnacentral:rRNA from 1 species